AUACAACUAGUGAUGAAGGAAAGCAGCGAGAAGAGCCAAGCAGGUGGUGGUCAGGGCAGGGACAAGAGCAGAACCUGAGGAGAUCUCCGUCACUGUGGCAGGCCGCUCUAUGUCCUCGGGGUCCUGAGGGAGGAGAGAGGAAGAUCCAGCCACAUCAGAGAGGAAGCUGCUGUGUGGGUGUUGCACCUCACCUGAAGCUGUCUGUUGAGCUCAAUGAUCUGCUCCUCACACUGGCGGGGGUCACACUCGUCCAGGUCACAGAUGUCGCACAGCUUGGCUGGUAGUGGGCGGUAGAACUGGCGGGCCUGUCGAGCUGCAGAUGCCAAGACAAAUUAGAAACAGUAUAGACACGAGGACUUACAGGUGUCAUAGUAGUCGUACACCCUGACAGCAGAGGGCUUCUGGAAGGCCACCUUGUUGAUCCUGUAGGCUGCCACAGUGGGGCACACCUCAACGGGCGUCAGGUGGUCAAAAUACACCAGCACACCGGAGCUGUCUGGCUUCUUCUCCACCAAUUUGACGCCCUCGUAGUCGUACAGCCCUGGCAGAGGAAGUAGUUGUGUGUGAUGUGGUUGGUUGUUGCGUAUUUGCUUUGUAUGUCAAGUAAGUGAUUUGCUUGUUGAGACCGGUUGUUCAUGACUAAAAUACUUUAAAUGUUACUUUUAUGAUAAUUAGGACUUGUAGUUUUGUUCACUCAUUUAUAUAUAGCUUGUGCACUCUAAAGGCCCACAACUUAAAAUAUUGACAGGUUCAUAUUAAUUUGUUUUCAGCACUAUAGAAGAGACUGUAUCCCUGAGAAGCAUACAGAGCACCAGUCAAGUCUCCCUCUCACACACACUCACCUGGGAUAAGAUCAUUGUCUACGAUGUAACCUGAGGGCAGAGACACGUCCAUCACUGCCAUGUUGCUAUUGUUGCCGCCAGUGUACCUGUGGGAGGAACACAGCUCAGGGACAACUCUUGCUACUGAUGUGUGUGGCUCUCCUCCGUGCUAGACUCGUAAGACUCCACUUGCUGCUCCUAACCAGACAUACUAACCCAGUGUGUCAGACUUUGUGGACUUGCUGUGUUAACACAAACAAGAAUCCUGCAGUUACCAUCAAGCUAAAACAGAAGAGCAUACCCAAUGCAGGAAGUGAGUCUGAGGCGAUUAGUGUCGGACAUAGAGAAGUCCAGCUGAGGAUCCAAGGAGAAGGCCGGCUUGGGUCCAGUCA